AUUGAACGCUGGCGGCAUGCCUUACACAUGCAAGUCGAACGGCAGCACGGGAGCAAUCCUGGUGGCGAGUGGCGAACGGGUGAGUAAAGUAUCGGAACGUGCCCAGUCGUGGGGAUAACGUAGCGAAAGUUACGCUAAUACCGCAUACGAUCUAUGGAUGAAAGCGGGGGAUCGCAAGACCUCGCGCGAUUGGAGCGGCGGAUAUCAGAUUAGGUAGUUGGUGGGGUAAAGGCUCACCAAGCCGACGAUCUGUAGCUGGUCUGAGAGGACGACCAGCCACACUGGGACUGAGACACGGCCCAGACUCCUACGGGAGGCAGCAGUGGGGAAUUUUGGACAAUGGGCGCAAGCCUGAUCCAGCCAUGCCGCGUGCAGGAUGAAGGCCUUCGGGUUGUAAGCUGCUUUUGUACGGAACGAAAAGGUUUGACUUAAUACGUUGGACUCAUGACGGUACCGUAAGAAUAAGCACCGGCUAACUACGUGCCAGCAGCCGCCGUAA
rnacentral:rRNA from 1 species